GUUGUCCGGAAUCAUUGGGCGUAAAGAGCGUGUAGGCGGCUUGUUAAGUCUUGCGUGAAAUCUCGGGGCUCAACCCCGAGCGGUCGUGAGAAACUGGCAGGCUAGAGUGCGGGAGAGGAGAGUGGAAUUCCUGGUGUAGCGGUGAAAUGCGCAGAUAUCAGGAAGAACACCCGUGGCUAAGGCGGCUCUCUAGUACGGUACUGACGCUGAGACGCGAAAGCGUGGGGAGCGAACAGG
rnacentral:rRNA from 1 species